UUAAAAAAGAAAAGAAAAAAGAAAUACUUCUGGGAUUUUAGGAUACAUCCCACUUCUAAAGACAUCAAAAUGCAGAAAUAUGCAGAUAGCAGUUUCAAGAAAAUAGAUACUUUCCCCACUGGAUGGGUAAGGAAGCAAAUGGCUCAGAGAGGUCCGGUGAACGGUGAGGUUUAGAUGAUCGGGGAAACGCACCCACUGUAAAUGAUUCGGUUCCAAGAAAGCCACUUUAUACUUGUCUCUCCCUUGAGGCCAGGGCUGAGCUCUGUGCCUGAUGACUAAUCUGUGAGCUUCUACGUGAACGGCCACGAAGAAUACACUGGCAGAGCAAAUGAUCCUAAUUAGGAACUUUGUGUUUGGGCUGAGGAAACACUCAAAAAGAUUUGCUCAAGUUCAGAUCCUGUUCUGUCGUCUUGGACAAUCUAUGUAACCUCUUUGGACUUGGCUUCCCUCAUCUGAAGAACCAGCAGAGUAACACGUGUCUCACGAGAGCUGUGCAUGAGAUGAAAACGUAUCACUCUCAACGGGGCUCCCGCUCGCGGUCAGUGUGCCAGAAAACGCAGCCGCUCUUAUUUUGAAAGGUGCUUUUAUUGGGUAGAACCAUAUGCUUUUAUUGGGUUGAAUAUCAUUCAGUUUCAUACGAUCUGUCCUACUUAUUGCAGAACGAUAGCUCUGUGUGUGGCUAGCAAGCAGGGAAGGGCAUAUCACCCCCAUUUUGCAGAGGGAGAAACUGAGGCCCAGAGAGAAGGCAUGACCAGUCCAAGGCCAUGGCCCAGUCAGGAAGCUGGGACUGGAAUCCACCUGCCCGCCUCUCCCUUUCUUGCUCGUCUUUUCCUCCUUUUCCCAGCACAGGGCAGCUGGACGUUGAUGGCAUGUGACUGUCCACGGCUGGGGCUUGAUUCAUUGUGGACAGAGCAAACACGGGAUUGGCCCCGCCUGGGAAGUCCAGUCUGGCUGUUUCCUGACACUCGGUUGUGUAAUGGGAGACUGGGAACGGUAGGUGCUGCCAGCCCCGGAAGAGCUGCCUUGUGGUCCUCAACAAUCUCCUACCUGCCCCUGCCAGGAAGGAGCUGGCCCAGCUUCAGAGGCCUCGCUGGCCAGGUCACAGAGGCCCUCCUGGGAGUACAGGCUGGGCGUUGUGAAUGUCACAGCUUUAACAUAGCCCUUCUUCUCUUCCCUCUGGCCCUUCCUCUUGACUCUCAUCCCCUCCGCGUCUCCAAAACCAUGCAGAUCCUGCCGACGCCUCUGGAGCUCUGACCAUGGCACGGAGCACUUUCCUGUCCCCUGGCUCAGCUGGCUGCCUCCUGGACGCUCCACAGUGCCCCAGUGCAGCUCAAACCCACCUCGGCCACCAGCCCAAACCCUGCUCUCCUGUGCAACCUGUGGCUUGUCCUACUCCCUGGGGCUCCCACAGCCUAUGCUAUAGCAUCCCCAAAUAUGCAGUGUGGCCUUUACUUCCAAGCCUUGGCAGCUCUCCAGCCUGCCAGACUUUACACUAGAAGGACACCAUCAGCUCUCCUGGGUCUUGAAUUGGCCAACUCACUCUGCAGAUCCUGGGACUUGCCAACCAUCAUAAUCAUGUAAGAAAUGCUCGUAUUGAAGCACUGUCCCCAAGGGCCGAAAGACGGAAACAACCCAGAUGUCCAUCAGAGGAUGAGCAGAGAACAAAAAUGCGGUAUAUCCAUACAGUAGAAUAUGAGUGAGUCAUAAAAAAGAACGAAGUACUGUAUGGAAACAUAUACCACAAGGGGGAACCUUGAAAUCAUGAUACAUGAGAGAAGUCAAUCACAGAAGACGUAAUCAACUGAAGAUGAGCUCAUUCACGUGGGCCCUCAUCCACUAUGACUGGUGUCCUUAUAAAAAGAUGUGCGGAGACACACGGGAGAAAGAAUGCCACGUGACUAAAGAGGCGGAGACCACGGGCUCCAGCCAGAAGCCGAGGAAUGAGUGGGGCCACGGGAAGCUGAUCAGGGUAAGGAACCUCUCCUAGAAGCGUGGGGGAUGGGGGGCACUGGCACCACUUGGAUUUCAGACUUCCAGGCUGCAGAGCCGGGAGAGAAUGCAUUUCUGCUGUCCUACGCCUCCCGGUUUGCGAUGCUGUUACAGCAACCCUAGGGAAGGAAUACGCCAUGGGACCCAGACCACCCCCCUUUCAGUACUCACCCCCGUGUUGACCCCAUGCCAUCUCUCAAUCUCUCUCUCUCUCUCUCUCUGCCUCCC